CCCCUCUCCUCCCUGGCUCCCUCCCUCUACUCUCUCUCCACUGAAGAGGACGGCGGAGCUAUCCGCGUGGUGGAUGCGGUUAUCGGCCCGCUCAUCGACCGGGGCAGUAGGGCCUGUGGCGACGCUGUCGCGGCGGAAACGGAUAUGGAAGUGCGCGGGUUGUCACUGGCAAGCUCGAGCUCCCCUUCGUCCUUCCGACAACAGGAGCUUCAUCUUCUCCGUGAAAUCGUGUCGGUAAAGCUCGAGCUCCCCUUCCCCAAGCGACUCCUCGUCCUCGACCAGGCGGCGGCGACGCUGCACAAGAUGACUCCUCCCCACGCGGGUGGCUCCGAUGAGGUCCACCUUUCCCGCUCUGGGAGGCGGCGGUAACCUCGUCCACCUCUCGCUGCUCCAGGCGCUGCCCCAUUAGAUCCCGCCACUCAUCGCAGCAUCUCCCCUGCCUCGCCGUGGAU
rnacentral:lncRNA from 1 species